GGGGAAGGAAGCUGUGAGAAGCAAUAGAGAGAGCAGGUAGCUAUGAGGUAGGGUCUGGAAGAAGUAGUGAGGACCAUGGGGGAAGCUAUGGGAGACCCUGGGGAGAGCAGUGGGCUAGGAGAAACCUAUUAGGAGGAAAUGUGCCUCCUGGGAGACAGCCUUAGGAGGCAGUGCUUUUGUUUAGGGAGCGCAGAAGAACCCUGCAGGGCUCUGGAGUAGGGGUGAAGAACUUCAGCGUAGCCCAAGAGGAGCAGAACAACUGUUUGUUUGGAUUUUCAGUUGGGCUUUCCUUCCCCUGAAAGGGGACCGAGUUUGAAAUGUGACUUGGCUGGAGAGUUGGGCUGGGAGAUGGAGACUGCUGCAGAACUAAAUUGGUUAAAAAUAGGGGGUGCUAGAGUGAAUGAACCUCUGAUGCUGAGUCCUGGCUGGCCUGUAGCUCUCCAUUACAGGGAGAAGACACCUUCAUGGAGUGAGCAGAGUGGCCACUUAAAGUGAUGACAAAGGAAGAGCUGGCUACUGGCAGGGAGCUCCUGCUGAAAUGAUGUUCGGAAGACAAAAUAAUAUACAGUUCCAUCUCAAGAAAACUAGCUGAAGGGUAUUCCUCUCCAAUUGCCAUGUGGACGUCAUCAGGCAGUUGAUUAUCUGUCAUUCACAAUCUUCCAGAGUGGCAGCUUUGUCCUGCUCAGCAACAUGACGGAUGGAUCUUGCAGCCACGGAAGACCAGACAAAGCACAACAGGCCUGGAAAACACCAAGAAUGAUAAGUUUUAGUUGCUUUGGUAUCUGAAUCAACAUGGUUGCUGUAACUUCGGCUACUUUUAACUCACUCUUCCUAUGUGUUUGCCCAAGUGAGAACAGCAGUGCUACGCCAUACCCGGUCUACUGGGAAUCAGGAGGAAUAAUGGGUUGUGAUGAGCAUAUUCCCAGGUUCCAGAAUGAGUAAAAGAAAAUAAAGGACAGGGAAGAAUGUGACGGCAACAUUUCUCUGAUCCAUGUCUUAGGGGUAGAAUUGAUUGCCACUAUGUUUCCACACUAUGUCUAGAUUUUUGCAAGGGUGUUUUCAUAAAUGAUGUGCAGCUGUCACGUCAUCAGUUGUCACCUCAUGAUGCUCCUUCUUUCCAGCUCCCAGGAAGGCAUGUAUAUGUUAUGGAAAAGAACAUGUACAAGUUGCUGAAAUAGCCCUCAGUACAAAAGAGGCAUCUGUGAAAGCAAAAAUGAUGCUAGUAUUAGUGUAAACAUACACAGUACCAUUGUAUUUAGCUCUUUGGAAUGGAUGGCAGGUUUUGAUCAAGCCAUAGUGAGCUUGCCUUACAGACAACAAUGCCCAUCUGUGUUGCUAUCUUUGGGGAAAAUAUGCCCAUGAGGAAACACAGGAGAUUUGAGUGAAGAUCUUGGUAGUGCAGUGAGGACUGUGAAGUGAGUUGUAGCCAACUCUGGCAAAACCUGCUUUCCCAUCCCCAGUUUUUAUCCACUAUGAAGCUUAUGCAUUCCAGGAGCAUCAUCAGAUCUGUUGAUGGUAUUUUGACCAACCAGAGCUCUUCUUGGUGCAACCAGCGUAAAAUAAGACUACAUCGUGCUCUUUAAAAAGAGAGUCUGGAAAACAUCCCAGAUUUGUACAUGUACCUCUUUAGUUUACAGUUCAGAGAACAAGGCUGAACAGGGAUUUGAUGGAGAUUAAUAGCUGGGCUCUUUUUCCCCCCAUUUAGAAAUGAAGUAAUAUCCACACUCUCUAAAAUAAAACCCCUCCAGGAUUUGCUGGCAUACAUAGAACAAUGCUUCAGUGCUAGAUGUGUACAGCUGUAUUUGCACCAUUGUGAUUCACCUUUUUAGAAAGCCCUAUCAAGAGAGUCCAUCUAUAGCUCCAUUUAGAAACUGCCUAUUUGUAUUGCAGUAGCACCUAGAGAUCCCAACAGAGAUGGAAACCUCCUUGUGCUAGGCACUCUACAAACAUAUAGUGAGAGACGAUCUCUGCCCCAAACUGCUUACAAUCUAAAGAGUGCAGACAAAGGAUGGGAGAAGAAAGAGAUUAAAUGACUUGGCCAAGAUCAUUCAGCAGGUCAGUGUCCAAGCCAGCAAUAGAACUCUUCCUCCCAUGGCUCUAGUUGCUAGACAGCACUGCCUCUCUAAACAAAACCUAUAGCUCCUGCCCUGCACGUACCCUGCUCGUAUUUAUUGCUUUUAUUAUCUUUUCUUUUUUAUGCUUCUUGACCUUAGGAUGUGGAGGCUCAAUGCUUAUGACCAUUCUUGAUCCAAAUACAGAUAGUAAUUUUCUGGUAAUUGAUUGAUAUUAAAUAUUCAGCUUUGGGAAUAAUUGCCAGAUCAAGCUGCCAAUUUAUACAAGGGCAACACUAUAGAUUGUGAUGGAAGCAGGGAACUUAGCUGGAGUUUGGCUUUUGGCCCAAAUCUAGUUGCUACAACUUACCUAGAUACUAGAAUACUUUCAGAUUUACAGGUAACAAAUGUAUGAUGCUAUUGUAAAAGGAAGUAUUUUGUAGGUCAAGUAUUUUGUGACCUGAUAGGGGUCACACUGUUUGGUAUUACAAUGCCAACAUAUCUAAAAUGCCUAGAAGAUCAACUCUUUGCCAGCUGUUGGUUAAUGGCAGAUGGCCAACAAAGCAUUCAGUUUCUCCAUUUGUUAGAACCAUGGAGAAUAUAGCUUUUGUAUUAAUGGAGUUUAACAGCUACUUAAGACCUGUUUCAUAAGAAGUUUAUGCACCAUUGAACUCCAACUAAUUUUUUUCCCUGCAAUUCUCCUAGAAGUGAAUUUCUGACUCAUUUUAAAGGGGGAAAGAAUCCCAAAAUUUUAACUACUUUUAAAUACUGCACUUGGAAUUGGGGCAGUUUUGACACCCUGGUUUAUAUCACUGAAGAUAAACCUGAGGUUACCAAUGGAGCUAUCUGGAUGCAAUUAUGGGAAAGCAGUCCUCUGACAAAGAGGACAUAUAGUGCACAAGUACAAAAAUUGUAGAGGUCAGAUGUUUAACUGCAAAAUAUCAUUCUUGGCUAAGAGGGGUACAGACAUGCUAAUGAAUAGAUUCAAUUGUGUUAGCUGAAAUCUAAUAAUAAACACUUAUUUGUGAAAGUGCAAAUGGUGAAAUGACAAGCGUUUGGCAGAAUACCCAGUGGGGAUAAUAGGAUAUGAGCCAAGUUUAGACCUGGUGGAGAUGAAUACCAGUCCCUUGACUUCCAUCAGGGUUGUACUUGCCAACAUUAGGUACGACUUUAGUUGCAUAACUAGAUAAAGUUAAAACCAUGAUCUUUUACCAUUUUCUAACCCAACUUGCCUGCCUUUUUGGUCAGAACUGGAACUAAGCAAAACAUUUGUAAUGAAAUCAAAAGCCCAUGGCCUAGCUUCAGGAUUCAGUAGUAACCUGAAACUUGGGUUAAGUUUGCAUAUCUUCCAGUGAGCCUUAGCGGAGUUGUGAGCCCAGGACAAAUAGAUAAGGAUGAUAAAAUUGUCCAUCAUGAUAUAGAAAAAGCAGAAGUAGUAAAUAAAUAUUUCUUUUAUAUUUG